UGUCAGCAGCCGCGGUAAUACGGAGGGUGCAAGCGUUGUUCGGAUUUAUUGGGCGUAAAGCGCGUGUAGGCGGUUUGUUAAGUCUGAUGUGAAAGCCCUGGGCUCAACCUGGGAAGUGCAUUGGAAACUGGCAGACUUGAAUACGGGAGAGGGUAGUGGAAUUCCUAGUGUAGGAGUGAAAUCCGUAGAUAUUAGGAGGAACACCGGUGGCGAAGGCGGCUACCUGGACCGAUAUUGACGCUGAGACGCGAAAGCGUGGGGAGCAAACAGGAUUAGAUACCCUGGUAGUCCACGCCGUAAACGAUGAGAACUAGGUGUUGCGGGUAUUGACCCCUGCAGUGCCGCAGCUAACGCAUUAAGUUCUCCGCCUGGGAAGUACGGUCGCAAGACUAAAACUCAAAGAAAUUGACGG
rnacentral:rRNA from 1 species